rnacentral:rRNA from 1 species
AUACGUAUGGGGCAAGCGUUGUUCGGAUUCAUUGGCGUAAAGGGCACGCAGGCGGAUUGUUAAGUUGGAUGUAUAAUCUUCGGGCUCAACCCGGAGUCUGCAUCCAAAACUGGCAAUCUAGAGUACCAGAGGGGAAAGCGGAAUUCUCGGUGUAGCGGUGGAAUGCGUAGAUAUCGAGAGGAACACCAGUGGCGAAGGCGGCUUUCUGGCUGGUUACUGACGCUCAGGUGCGAAAGCGUGGGGAGCAAACAGGAUUAGAAACCCCAGUAGUCC